GUGCUGGCUUUGGCAGCACAUUUACUAAAAUUGGAACAACAGAGAAAAGAUUAGCAUGGCCCCUAAGCAGGAAUGACUUGCAGAUCUGUGAAGUGUUUCAUAUUUUU